GUGAGGAAUAUUGGACAAUGGGCGCAAGCCUGAUCCAGCCAUGCCGAGUGCAGGAAGACGCAUCUAUGGUGUGUAAACUGCUUUUGUACGGGAAGAAACACUCCCUCGUGAGGGAGCUUGACGGUACCGUAAGAAUAAGGAUCGGCUAACUCCGUGCCAGCAGCCGCGGUAAUACGGAGGAUCCAAGCGUUAUCCGGAAUCAUUGGGUUUAAAGGGUCCGUAGGCGGUUUAAUAAGUCAGUGGUGAAAGCCUAUCGCUCAACGAUGGAACGGCCAUUGAUACUGUUAGACUUGAAUUACAAGGAAGUAACUAGAAUAUGUAGUGUAGCGGUGAAAUGCUUAGAUAUUACAUGGAAUACCAAUUGCGAAGGCAGGUUACUACUUGUGGAUUGACGCUGAUGGACGAAAGCGUGGGGAGCGAACAGGAUUAGAAACCCGAGUAGUCC
rnacentral:rRNA from 1 species